rnacentral:tRNA from 1 species
GAUCUGUUAGCUCAGCUGGGAGAGCACAACCUUGACAGGGUUGGGGUCGGCGGUUCGAGCCCGUCACAGAUCAUCA